CUCGUGAUAGCUCAGUUGGUAGAGCGGCGGACUGUAGAGGAAUGCAUUACAUCCAUCCGUCGGUCACUGGUUCGAUUCCGGUUCGCGAGA